rnacentral:sRNA from 1 species
GAUCCCGGAGGCUAACACCCGACAGCGCGAUGCGCCCUCGGGUGGGUUUGGC